UACGUAGGGGGCAAGCGUUGUCCGGAAUCAUUGGGCGUAAAGAGCGUGUAGGCGGCUCGAUAAGUCUGCUGUGAAAGUCCAGGGCUCAACCCUGGAAGGCCGGUGGAAACUGUCGGGCUAGAAUCCGGAAGAGGCGAGUGGAAUUCCCGGUGUAGCGGUGAAAUGCGCAGAUAUCGGGAGGAACACCAAUGGCGAAGGCAGCUCGCUGGGACGGUAUUGACGCUGAGACGCGAAAGCGUGGGGA
rnacentral:rRNA from 1 species